rfam:Lepisosteus oculatus linkage group LG3, whole genome shotgun sequence.
GUUAGCAGCCAUAUCACCCUGCAACUCACAACUGGCAACCCACUGAAGCUAAGCUGGUGUGAGCUUGGUCAGUACCUGGAUGCGAGACCUCCUGGGAAAAAACUAAGGUUGCUGCUGGAA